AUUAAGAGUGGUUGUGGAUCUUUAUAUCCAAGGUUUGAUCGUAUGUCUUAUUUAAAAUAUUUUAUGGUUAGUAUAUUUAUUGUUAUUAGAUGAUAAAAUAUAAAUAAUACUUUAUGUGUGACUUAUUUUUUUUAUUUUUUAUAAUUUUUUUUAAAUAAGAUGAACGAUCAAAUAUUGAAUACAGAAACCCACAACUAUAUUUAAA
rfam:Oryza meridionalis cultivar OR44 (W2112) chromosome 10, whole genome shotgun sequence.